rnacentral:lncRNA from 1 species
GAGUUUGUUGCUUUGAACAUUGUUGGAGACUAGACUGUGUCAAGCUCUCAAGGCUGGAGAGGGAAAAGAGAAUUGUUUCUCAUAGAUCUGUGUACCUGGAGUUCCAUUCAUGAAGCAAAACCAAAAUUCAGAACCUUCAAAAUUCAGCUUAAUCAAAAAAACUAAACCAAGUAGAGAUAAAAGUAGCUUCCUCCAUAGCAUGGAUAUGCCUACUUUGCUUUGUUAUUUCAGGAGCUGUUGAAUUCCCCAAAUGGACAUUCUUUGCUUGCUUCUCAAGUGCACCUUGAAAUGCAAAAGAAAAAAGUUCAGAUUUUUC